GGGGAAAUGGCCGAGCGGUCUAAGGCGCUACGUUCAGGUCGUAGUCUGGAAACAGGCGUGGGUUCGAACCCCACUUUCCUCA
rnacentral:tRNA from 1 species